GUAUUUGAGCCUGUGGGUACUAAUUAGGGUCCUGCAGUAGCUUCAACUUGAGUGAAAAGAAAGCAAAGAGACAAGAUACAGGUAGAAGGUGCCAGCCUGUGUACCUCUUUGCUGAAGGGCUUGCCAAAGCACCUGGACCCUGCUGCUUGUGCCUAAGUUGAUAACCAUCGCAGAUGUUCCCUUCUGAGAAAUGACCUUGACUAAUGUCUGCAGCUGAUGUGUACAAAGGCCGGCCCUCUUCCCUCAAGGUGAGAGCAACUCUCUGAUGAAGUUCAUCCCCCCGGGCUUCUCCAGGGAUCAGGCUGAAGCUGGUCUCCA
ensembl:lncRNA